rnacentral:rRNA from 1 species
UAGAGUUUGAUCCUGGCUCAGAGCGAACGCUGGCGGCAGGCCUAACACAUGCAAGUCGAGCGCCCGUAGCAAUACGGGAGCGGCAGACGGGUGAGUAACGCGUGGGAACGUGCCCUUUAGUUCGGAACAACUCAGGGAAACUUGAGCUAAUACCGAAUGUGCCCGAAAGGGGAAAGAUUUAUCGCCAAUAAAUCAGCCCGCGUCCGAUUAGCUAGUUGGUGGGGUAAAAGCUCACCAAGGCUCCGAUCGGUAGCUGUUCUGAGAGGAAGAUCAGCCACACUGGGACUGAGACACGGCCCAGACUCCUACGGGAGGCAGCAGUUGGGAAUCUUGGACAAUGGGGGAAACCCUGAUCCAGCCAUGCCGCGUGAGUGAUGAAGGCCUUCGGGUUGUAAAACUCUUUCGACGGGGACGAUAAUGACGGUAGUCGGCCCA